rnacentral:rRNA from 1 species
UCAGACGAUGCGUCAUGCAUAUCAAUAAGCGGAGGAAAAGAAACUAACAAGGAUUCCCCUAGUAACGGCGAGUGAAGCGGGAAGAGCUCAAAUUUGAAAUCUUAAAGGGUUUCCCUUUACGAAUUGUAGUUUAAAGAAGUGUUUUCUGUUGAGGUUUUGGUAAAAGUUCUUUGGAAUAGGACAUCAUAGAGGGUGAGAAUCCCGUAUUUGACCUUUACUUUCAACUUUGUGAUACACUUUCAAAGAGUCGGAUUGUUUGGGAAUGCAGUCCAAAAUGGGUGGUAAAUUUCAUCUAAGCUAAAUAUUGGCGAGAGACCGAUAGCGAACAAGUACCGUGAGGGAAAGAUGAAAAGAACUUUGAAAAGAGAGUUAAACAGUACGUGAAAUUGUCAAAAGGGAAGCGUUUGACACCAGUGUUGCUUUUCUGAAAAUCAAUUAAAGAACUGUUUAUGCUAAGUUGUUUAGACUUUAUCAGCUAACUGUUUAGUUUUGAGCUUUUCUUUAAUGCACUUUUCAGUUAACAAGUCAACAUCAAUUUCUUUUGCUGUAAAAAGGCUUGAGGAAGGUGGCUUGAGAUUCGUCUUAAGUGUUUAUAGCCUCUUGCCUAUGCAGUCGGAGAGAUUGAGGUCUGCAGCGUAGAUCCUUCGGGGCUAAAUGCAUUUGUGCUAAGUUAUAGCAUUUUAUAGACAACUUGUUGACUAUGAUUUGUCUUGUAGCUUACUCGCUCAUGUUAUUUUACCUACGCUUAGGAUGUUGAGCGCAUGUCUCUCUCU